rfam:Xenopus laevis strain J chromosome 5S, whole genome shotgun sequence.
CCUUCGAUAGCUCAGCUGGUAGAGCGGAGGACUGUAGAGGGAACAUAGAAAUCCUUAGGUCGCUGGUUCAAUUCCGGCUCGAAGGA